GACGAGCCACACGAACGUUAUUCGGAAUUACUGGGCUUAAAGGGUGCGUAGGCUGCGCGGAAAGUUGGGUGUGAAAUCCCUCGGCUCAACCGAGGAACUGCGCCCAAAACUGCCGUGCUCGAGGAAGAUAGAGGUAAGCGGAACUUACGGUGGAGCGGUGAAAUGCGUUGAUAUCGUAAGGAACACCUGUGGCGAAAGCGGCUUACUGGGUCUUUUCUGACGCUGAUGCACGAAAGCUAGGGGAGCAAACGGG
rnacentral:rRNA from 1 species